GACGAACGCUGGCGGCGUGCCUAAUACAUGCAAGUUGAGCGCUGAAGGUUGGUACUUGUACCGACUGGAUGAGCAGCGAACGGGUGAGUAACGCGUGGGGAAUCUGCCUUUGAGCGGGGGACAACAUUUGGAAACGAAUGCUAAUACCGCAUAAAAACUUUAAACACAAGUUUUAAGUUUGAAAGAUGCAAUAGCAUCACUCAAAGAUGAUCCCGCGUUGUAUUAGCUAGUUGGUGAGGUAAAGGCUCACCAAGGCGAUGAUACAUAGCCGACCUGGGAGGGUGAUCGGCCACAUUGGGACUGAGACACGGCCCAAACUCCUACGGGAGGCAGCAGUAGGGAAUCUUCGGCAAUGGACGAAAGUCUGACCGAGCAACGCCGCGUGAGUGAAGAAGGUUUUCGGAUCGUAAAACUCUGUUGGUAGAGAAGAACGUUGGUGAGAGUGGAAAGCUCAUCAAGUGACGGUAACUCCCCAGAAAGGGACGGCUAACUACGUG
rnacentral:rRNA from 1 species